GUAAAAACCCUUGAAUUAAAACGUGUAAAAACCCUUGAAUUUUAAGAAACGUUUUUGCAAGACGGAGAAGACGAUGAUCGAGAUUGAGAUUUCUAAAUUCGUUUGGCACUUUUGUAUCAAUUUUUAAGAAGAACGAAGAAGAAGAAGAAAUAAGAAACUGUCACAAAUCGACUCUCCGUACAUCUCUGGUAAGUUUUUCCUCUUUCUCUCCAGCGGUUUCAGGCUGCUUUUGUUGGAUUCUGUCUAAAACUGGUCUAAUGAUUCAAUUCCUUCAAUAUGUAAAAGGUAAAAUAUGUAACUAUAGUUAUAAGUUCUUAGCUUACAUAUAUAAACUAUGUAAUUUUUUUUUAAGUCAUUGUGUGUUUGGAUUGCUGAAUUGAUAAAGAAAUUAAGAUUCUAUAUGGAAUUGGGAAGAACUGAAACUGCGAACCUUAAAACUCUAUUCUGACUGUUAUCACUAACCAGAGAAUACUAGAGAGAAUAUCAAAGAAUCAGUGAAAUUGUUUCAGUUACUAUUGAACUAAACGAAUACAGAGAUCAAUGAACUCGAAACAUACCCACUUGAGCGUUGAAGGGAGAAGCAAGAUAAAGAAAACAAACUCUGGAAUCCUCCUCUAAUUCUAUGUAAAACAACACAAGAAGUAACAAUAUCUACACAUUUCAUAACCUUAGUUUAAAAGUCAAUUAGUCAUUAUCUAAUCCAAUAGGAAAUGAAUAUAAAACAGAGUGAAAACAGACAGGAGCAGCUAUGUCAUGACCACUAGAAACUUGUAGGAAAUAUUGUUUCAUGUUCUGAUGUAAUUACGUUAAUCCAACUAUUUACUUCAGGAUUUAAAAUCUAAAGAAACUAAUCUAUACUCUUAACUCACCACAAGUUCCUCUCACCACUGAAAAAUUGAAAGAACUUCAGCCUAAUCAUACUGGUAAGUUUUACAAAUUACAGGACUCCAAUUCCAAUAGACUAAACGCUACAUAACCUAUAAACCAAAGUAAGACAAUAUCACAUGUUCCUAACUCACCACAAGUUCAUGUCACCACUAUAAAUCGACAGAACUUCAGCUUAUUCAUAACGGUAAGCUUCAAAAGGAUUACAAACCCAAUUUAAAAACACUUCAUAACCUAAUGGUAAGUUGCAUAGAGACACUAAACCAAAGCAAAGAUGCAAAUGUGUUGAAGAAACUAAAAACAUCGCUCUAACAUUCACAAAGACAUAACCCGAUGAUACUAACCGCAAUUACACAAUGAAUGCCACAAAGCAAACAAUGUGGUAGAAAAAAAGCAUCAAGCAAAACAAACCACAAACCACAAACCAAACCACUCAAAGAUUGACAACAAAACAAAAAAGGUAAACAAUUUACCAACAAAGAUAACACAAAAGAAAGGAAGCAGAUUUCGCAUAAUUAUGAAACAUCAAAACCCAUAAAGCCAAAACCAAGCAACAAAAUGAAGACACUUACUCAUACUAAGGAAAACAUCUUCAAAUAUCCAUAGUACCAAAUCCACAAGUCAUCAUCAUCAUCAUCAUUACAAGAACACAGAACUCAAUCUAGCAAAAGCAAAACCCUAAUAAACAGAUUAUAAAGAAAGAUAAUUUCAAGCCUCACUCUUCUCCUCCUCUGAAACAGAACCUGCAUCAUCUUUAGAAACCUCACUAGCAUCAGUAUUCACAUCCUCCACACUUCCAUUCCCAUCAUUACCAUUAGAUCUAGCCUUAACAGAUUCAAGCAUCCUCUUACUAAUCUCUUUAGAAUAAACCUCAAGAAUCUUAAUCCCAUCAUCAUCACUCACCACAGCAUUCGAAGCAACACCAU
rnacentral:lncRNA from 1 species